CCUACGGGAGGCAGCAGUGGGGAAUAUUGGACAAUGGGCGAAAGCCUGAUCCAGCAAUUCCGCGUGUGUGAAGAAGGCCUUCGGGUUGUAAAGCACUUUAGUUGGGGAAGAAACAGCUUGGCCACACCAAGCCUUGACGGUACCCAAAGAAUAAGCACCGGCUAACUCUGUGCCAGCAGCCGCGGUAAUACAGAGGGUGCAAGCGUUAAUCGGAUUUACUGGGCGUAAAGGGUGCGUAGGUGGUUUUGUAAGUCGGAUGUGAAAGCCUGGGGCUCAACCUCAGAAUUGCACUCGAUACUGCAAGACUAGAGUUCGGUAGAGGGCGGCGGAAUUCCCGGUGUAGCGGUGAAAUGCGUAGAUAUCGGGAGGAACAUCAAUGGCGAAGGCAGCCGCCUGGGCCUGAACUGACACUGAGGCACGAAAGCGUGGGUAGCAAACAGGAUUAGAUACCCUGGUAGUCCACGCUGUAAACGAUGAGAACUUGACGUUGGUUCGUUUUACGAAUCGGUGUCGCAGCUAACGCGAUAAGUUCUCCGCCUGGGGAGUACGGCCGCAAGGUUGAAAACUUAAAGAGUAAGUUAGACGGUCGNGAGACGUCGACGACGACGACGACGAGGAGGAG
rnacentral:rRNA from 1 species